UUAAUCCAAUCAUUUCAAUUUUGGUAAUUUAGGCCAGACUGAAGUUGCAAUUUUAUCCACCGACCAAAUAGAUCAAAAUUGAAAUAAAAAAUAAUAUUAUAUUCAUAAAGAAAAAUAAAAAAUUGAAUUUAUUUUCUUUUUCUUUUUAACUCUCCUCUCUCUCUCUCUUCCCCUCACCCACCAUCCCCUUCCCUUCCCCCUCUUUUCCUUCCAUUUUCUCACAUUUUCUAAUAAAUGGUCUUGUAAAGCCACUUUCCAAGAGUGAGAAGAAACCCUUUCUCUCUCUCCCUCUCUAUAAUGUAUAGGAUACAAGGUAUUUGUGGAUGCCUAGCAAGCACAGAGCCAAGGUUCUUAGUCAUUAAGUCUCUCACACAUCUCUUUCAACACCAUUUUCUGGCCUGCAAGCAAAAUGGCAAGAACUGUAAUCAUAAUAAAAUAAAAGUCUAGCUAUUUAUUAGUGCCCUCACCUUCACCCCUGAAUCCUGCACUGAGCAACAUUUUAAAUGGGCCUUUCUUUUCUUAUCAAGGGCUUUGUCCUAGUCUCUUGAAAUUAUGAAAUUAUGUACUUUCAAACAUGGAGAGCCAUGGCAAUGGCUUCAAGAGGGUUCAGCUAUGCGUUCUAUGAGGUAGACUCUUUGAUGGUGGUGGAGGAUGGUUGGUAGGUGAGGGGCAAAGAGAGAGAGAGAGAGAG
rnacentral:misc_RNA from 1 species